ensembl:lncRNA
CUUCCAGGAGCAGUUGAGAUCUCCAAUAUGACUGGUCGUUGCUAUGCAACGUAGCAAAGAGCAGCCUUCAAAGACAUGACUGGUGAGCAGCUGGGUGGUCUCAAGAGCAGAUGGGCGUUUAGAAAGAGCAACGAAAUGGACAGCCUUGGAAAAAAUGUCAGCAAAGAUUAGAAUGACAGUGGGUGAGGAUGGAGGGUGGCCCUUGCUAUGACACGGCGCGGGGGGAAGAGAGGCGGUCGCUGAUCCUUGAGGAGGUGCGAGCAGGAGUUGCGGAGAAGCAAGCCAAUCAGACAAACAAAGUCCAAGACAAUGUGGGACCACAGGCAACCAGGUAUGGGAAGAGGUCUUAAUAAGCUGGCAGGAGGUGAACUCCAAGACUUGUUUUGAGCACAUCCAGAACAGGGUGACAUAUAUUCGCGUACAUCAUUGGCCAAGGAUGGCAACCAGAACAGACGUUCUAAACAGGAAUCCUCCGAUUCAUCAUCUCAUCAAUAAUCACUCCUUUUUGGAUGCUGGUCUUCUCUGGAAUCACAGUCACAGCCCGAGCUCAGUUCCUUGUCUGUUUACCUGCCUGCUUCCCCGCCACAGCAAAAGAAUUUACGAACCAUGCCCCUUCUGGACUCCCUGCCUCUGGAAACUCACCCGGACACUUUGACUGCUUUCCCCUCCACGUCAGGUUCCACCUGCAAAGACUUGUCUCUGAUCUCCACUGCCCGAGCCACGACGCUCUAUACCCUGAGAUUCCCUUUUGCUCCUGUUUCAUAGUUCACAGCCCCGUCUGACAUUUCAGUUCAUAGCUUUGUGUUUUGAUAUCACAGUUCAUGUUUAUUUCAUGUUAUUCAUGUUUGCAACACACUGGUUCACAGUUUCACAUAGGCA